rnacentral:ncRNA from 1 species
AUUAAAUUUUUAUAGUUUAAAUAAUUUAUUUAAAAUUUAUUUUACAUAUAAAUUUUAGUAAAAAAUAUUUAUUUAUUUUAAUAAUAAAAUAUUAAAAUUAAAGUAGUAAUUAAUAUUAAAAAUUUAAGAAAUUAAGAUUUAGUAAUAUAAAAAUUAAAAACUAAUUUUGUGCCAGCAGUUGCGGUUAAACAAAAUUUAAAAUGAAUUUUUUUAGUAAUUAAUUAAUAAUAAAUUAAUUUAAUUUAAAUUUUAAAUUAUUAAGUGAAAUUUUAAUUUAAUAAAAAAUUAUAAUUUUAUUUAUGAAAUUAAUAGAUUUUAUAAAAAACUAGGAUUAGAUACCCUAUUAUUAAAAAUUUAAAAUUAAAAUACUAAAAUAGUAAUUAAUUUUUUAUUGAAACUUAAAUAAAUUGGCGGUAUUUUAGUUCAUUUAGAGGAAUCUGUUUAAUAAUUGAUAAUCCACGAAUAAAUUUACUUAAUUUAAUAGUUUAUAUAUCGUUGUUGAAAAAAUAUUUUAAUAUAAUAAAUAAUAUUUAAAAAUUUAAAUUUAAAAUUAAAUCAGAUCAAGAUGUAGUUAAUAAUUAAGAAUAUAAUGGGUUACAAUAAAAUUAUUUAAAUGAAUUUAAAUUUGUAAUAAUUUAUUGAAAGUGGAUUUAAAAGUAAUUUUAUUUAGUUUUUUAAAAUGAUUAAAAAUUAAAAUAUGUACAUAUUGCCCGUCACUUUCAUAUAUAAGUUGGAAUAAGUCGUAACAAAGUAGAAGUACUGGAAAGUGUUUCUAGAAAGAU